rnacentral:rRNA from 1 species
CCUACGGGGGGCUGCAGUGGGGAAUAUUGGACAAUGGGGGGAACCCUGAUCCAGCCAUGCCGCGUGUGUGAAGAAGGCCCUCGGGUUGUAAAGCACUUUCAGUGAGGAAGAACGCCUGGUGGUUAAUACCCAUCAGGAAAGACAUCACUCACAGAAGAAGCACCGGCUAACUCCGUGCCAGCAGCCACGGUAAUACGGAGGGUGCGAGCGUUAAUCGGAAUUACUGGGCGUAAAGCGCGCGUAGGUGGCUUGAUAAGCCGGUUGUGAAAGCCCCGGGCUCAACCUGGGAACGGCAUCCGGAACUGUCAAGCUAGAGUGCAGGAGAGGAAGGUAGAAUUCCCGGUGUAGCGGUGAAAUGCGUAGAGAUCGGGAGGAAUACCAGUGGCGAAGGCGGCCUUCUGGACUGACACUGACACUGAGGUGCGAAAGCGUGGGUAGCAAACAGGAUUAGAUACCCGAGUAGUC